rnacentral:rRNA from 1 species
UACGGGGGGUGCAAGCGUUGUUCGGAUUUACUGGGCGUAAAGGGCGCGUAGGCGGCGCCGCAAGUCGACUGUGAAAUCUCCGGGCUUAACCCGGAAAGGUCAGCCGAUACUGCGGGGCUAGAGUGCAGAAGGGGCAACUGGAAUUCUCGGUGUAGCGGUGAAAUGCGUAGAUAUCGAGAGGAACACCUGCGGCGAAGGCGGGUUGCUGGGCUGACACUGACGCUGAUGCGCGAAAGCUAGGGGAGCGAACGGG